rnacentral:piRNA from 1 species
GCAUGUGAACGUGAUAAACAAAUCUGGU